rnacentral:rRNA from 1 species
UACGGGGGGGGCAAGCGUUGUUCGGAAUUACUGGGCGUAAAGGGCUCGUAGGCGGCCAACUAAGUCAGACGUGAAAUCCCUCAGCUUAACUGGGGAACUGCGUCUGAUACUGGAUGGCUUGGAUCCGGGAGAGGGAUGCGGAAUUCCAGGUGUAGCGGUGAAAUGCGUAGAUAUCUGGAGGAACACCGGUGGCGAAGGCGGCAUCCUGGACCGGUAUUGACGCUGAGGAGCGAAAAGCCAGGGGAGCAAACAGG